rnacentral:tRNA from 1 species
GCCCUCGUAGUCUAACGGAUAAAACGCGAGCCUUCGAAGCUCGAUUUGGAGGUUCGAAUCCUCCCGAGGGCACCA